rnacentral:rRNA from 1 species
GGUAGUCCACCCCGUAAACGUUGGGAACUAGUUGUGGGGACCAUUCCACGGUUUCCGUGACGCAGCUAACGCAUUAAGUUCCCCGCCUGGGGAGUACGGCCGCAAGGCUAAAACUCAAAGGAAUUGACGGGGACCCGCACAAGCGGCGGAGCAUGCGGAUUAAUUCGAUGCAACGCGAAGAACCUUACCAAGGCUUGACAUACACCAGAACACCGUAGAAAUACGGGACUCUUUGGACACUGGUGAACAGGUGGUGCAUGGUUGUCGUCAGCUCGUGUCGUGAGAUGUUGGGUUAAGUCCCGCAACGAGCGCAACCCUCGUUCUAUGUUGCCAGCACGUAAUGGUGGGAACUCAUGGGAUACUGCCGGGGUCAACUCGGAGGAAGGUGGGGAUGACGUCAAAUCAUCAUGCCCCUUAUGUCUUGGGCUUCACGCAUGCUACAAUGGCCGGUACAAAGGGCUGCAAUACCGUGAGGUGGAGCGAAUCCCAAAAAGCCGGUCCCAGUUCGGAUUGAGGUCUGCAACUCGACCUCAUGAAGUCGGAGUCGCUAGUAAUCGCAGAUCAGCAACGCUGCGGUGAAUACGUUCCCGGGUCUUGUACACACCGCCCGUCAAGUCAUGAAAGUCGGUAACACCUGAAGCCGGUGGCCCAACCCUUGUGGAGGGAGCCGUCGAAGGUGGGAUCGGUAAUUAGGACUAAGUCGUAACAAGGUAGCCGUACCGGAAGGUGC